rnacentral:rRNA from 1 species
GCAAGUCGAACGGUAACAUGAAGUGCUUGCACUUUGAUGACGCGUGGCGCACGGGUGCGUAACGCGUAUACAAUCUACCUUUUACAGAGGGAUAGCCCAGAGAAAUUUGGAUUAACACCUCAUGGUAUCCAGACCUCGCAUGAGCGUCUGGAUUAAAACUCCGGUGGUAAGAGAUGAGUAUGCGUUCUAUUAGCUAGUAGGUAGGGUAACGGCUUACCUAGGCCACUAUAGAUAGGGGCCCUGAGAGGGGGAUC